GACAGAGGGUGCAAACGUUGUUCGGAAUUACUGGGCGUAAAGCGCGCGUAGGCGGCCCGGUAAGUCCGCUGUGAAAGUCAAAGGCUCAACCUUUGAAUGUCAGCGGAUACUGCCGGGCUAGAGUCCGGAAGAGGCGAGUGGAACUCCUGGUGUAGCGGUGGAAUGCGCAGAUAUCAGGAGGAACACCAAUGGCGAAGGCAGAUCUCUGGGCCGUAACUGACGCUGAGGAGCGAAAGCAUGGGGAGCGAACAGG
rnacentral:rRNA from 1 species